rnacentral:rRNA from 1 species
GACGAACGCUGGCGGCGUGCUUAACACAUGCAAGUCGAACGGAAAGGCCCUGCUUUUGUGGGGUGCUCGAGUGGCGAACGGGUGAGUAACACGUGAGUAACCUGCCCUUGACUUUGGGAUAACUUCAGGAAACUGGGGCUAAUACCGGAUAGGAGCUCCUGCUGCAUGGUGGGGGUUGGAAAGUUUCGGCGGUUGGGGAUGGACUCGCGGCUUAUCAGCUUGUUGGUGGGGUAGUGGCUUACCAAGGCUUUGACGGGUAGCCGGCCUGGGAGGGUGACCGGCCACAUUGGGACUGAGGUACGGACCAGAAGCCUACGGGAGGCAGCAGUGGAGAAUAUUGCACAAUGGGCGGAAGCCUGAUGCAGCAACGCCGCGUGCGGGAUGACGGCCUUCGGGUUGUAAACCGCUUUCGCCUGUGACGAAGCGUGAGUGACGGUAAUGGGUAAAGAAGCACCGGCUAACUACGUG